CCUACGGGAGGCAGCAGUGGGGAAUUUUGGACAAUGGGCGCAAGCCUGAUCCAGCAAUGCCGCGUGAGUGAAGAAGGCCUUCGGGUUGUAAAGCUCUUUUGUCAGGGAAGAAACGGUGAAGGCUAAUAUCUUUUGCUAAUGACGGUACCUGAAGAAUAAGCACCGGCUAACUGCGUGCCAGCAGCCGCGGUAAUACGUAGGGUGCAAGCGUUAAUCGGAAUUACUGGGCGUAAAGCGUGCGCAGGCGGUUUUGUAAGUUUGUCGUGAAAUCCCCGGGCUCAACCUGGGAAUGGCGAUGAAGACUGCAAGGCUAGAAUCUGGCAGAGGGGGGUAGAAUUCCACGUGUAGCAGUGAAAUGCGUAGAGAUGUGGAGGAACACCGAUGGCGAAGGCAGCCCCCUGGGUCAAGAUUGACGCUCAUGCACGAAAGCGUGGGGAGCAAACAGGAUUAGAUACCCUGGUAGUCCACGCCCUAAACGAUGUCUACUAGUUGUCGGGUUUUAAUUAACUUGGUAACGCAGCUAACGCGUGAAGUAGACCGCCUGGGGAUCGGUCGCAAGNUUAAAACUUAAGAAGUUGACGCGNGAGAGAGCGACGACGACGACGAGGAGAGG
rnacentral:rRNA from 1 species